rnacentral:rRNA from 1 species
UCCGUAGGUGAACCUGCGGAGGGAUCAUUACAAGUGACCCCGGUCUAACCACCGGGAUGUUCAUAACCCUUUGUUGUCCGACUCUGUUGCCUCCGGGGCGACCCUGCCUUCGGGCGGGGGCUCCGGGUGGACACUUCAAACUCUUGCGUAACUUUGCAGUCUGAGUAAACUUAAUUAAUAAAUUAAAACUUUUAACAACGGAUCUCUUGGUUCUGGCAUCGAUGAAGAACGCAGCGAAAUGCGGUAAGUAAUGUGAAUUGCAGAAUUCAGUGGAUCAUCGAAUCUUUGAACGCACAUUGCGCCCCCUGGUAUUCCGGGGGGCAUGCCUGUUCGAGCGUCAUUUCACCACUCAAGCCUCGCUUGGUAUUGGGCAACGCGGUCCGCCGCGUGCCUCAAAUCGACCGGCUGGGUCUUCUGUCCCCUAAGCGUUGUGGAAACUAUUCGCUAAAGGGUGUUCGGGAGGCUACGCCGUAAAACAACCCCAUUUCUAAGGUUGACCUCGGAUCAGGUAGGGAUACCCGCUGAACUUAAGCAUAUCAAUAAGCGGAGGA